AGCAGCCGCGGUAAUUCCAGCUCCAAUAGCGUAUAUUAAAGUUGUUGCAGUUAAAAGCUCGUAGUUGAAUUUCGGGAUCAAUUUAUCGGUCGUGCCAAUGGUAUGAACUGGUACAAUUGGUUUCUCCCUUCUGACGAAGCAUGAUGUCAUUAAUUUGGUGUCGUGGGGAAUCAGGACUGUUACUUUAGAAAAAAUUAGGGUGUUUAAAGCAAGCAUUAGCUUGAAUACAUUAGCAUGGAAUAAUGAAAUAGGACGUUUGAUCCUAUUUCGUUGGUUUCUAGGAUCGACGUAAUGACUAAUAGGGAUAGUUGGGGGCAUUAGUAUUCAAUUGUCAGAGGUGAAAUUCUUGGAUUUAUUGAAGACUAACUACUGCGAAAGCAUUUGCCAAGGAUGUUUUCAUUAAUCAAGACGAAAGUUAGGGAUCGAAGACGAUACAGAUACCGUACGUAGUCUUAACCAUAAACUAUGACCGACUAGGGAUCGGAUGAUGUUUAAUUUUUAANGUACUCAUUCGGCUACC
rnacentral:rRNA from 1 species